AGUGCUCUGAGGUGCAGGUACCUGUCGUUUGAGCCGCUGUCGAUAAUCACGGCAAGGGGUGCCGGGUCCGGGCGUGGUGAGCAAGCCCUCUGCGGAGAAGGAAGCCUGAAGCGUCUUCCCGGCCAACACUGCACACAGGUCAGGAGUUCAAGGAUUGUACGGCAUCUUGGAGCAUAU
rnacentral:other from 1 species